UUCAGACUGGAGCCUGAGGGCGCUGGAAGGUCAGUGGAGGGACUCAGCAAGAUGAGAUGUACCUGAUGGGAGUGUUUUUCCAAGAUCGCCCUGCCUGCUGUCGGGAGAGGAUGCGGUGGGGCGGAUAAGGGAUUAUGAUGACCCCAGAGCGGUCACACCUCGGACGGCCCAGACACAGAAGGUGAAGGGCUAGGAGCACCUGGGGGUCUGAAAGAAGACAAGAAGCGGCGUCUCUACGCUCAAGGGGAAGAGAAGAGGGGUCUCCACACGCAGAGAAAAGGGCCUGAGCUGAACAGGCCUCCUGCUCUGGCUGACGGUCCCCGAUUCUGACCCUUUUGGAGAAGUCUCCACAACGGGGCUCCCGGGCCUUCCAGGCACCGAGGGCUCAGGAAAGAAGCACCUCCUUGGAGUCCGAGCCUCGGUUCAGUUCCAGCCCAUCCUACACUUUCUACCUGGGAGACAUUACCACUCGGAGCCUCGGUUUCCUCAACGGCAAAAUGGGAACACCACCUCCCAUCUCUUGCCAGGUCUGCGCAUGGCCUCAGAACUCUCCUGGUGCUGCGGGUGGAGAGUUUCAAGGUGACUGUGAGCUUCAGGAGAGAAAGGAGGGCAGAGUGCCCAAGGCUGCACCAGGGCAAGGACGGGCGUCUGGCUCCCGGCCGGCCGGUAGGUGGGUUGCUGGACACCAGUUUAAAAGAAGAAAGAUUAUUGACUCCAUCAAGUUGGCAUAACACAGCAACCGAAUAUACUUCCAGCAUUUACAGUCCUGCUGGAUUGGUCUCCAGGCUGGAAAUUUAUGCAGUGAACUUCUAGGGAAAUGCUGAAGCAAAUGCUAAACAAGAAGCUACUUUUUUCACUCUGAAGUUCUAGCUGCAGCCUUAAGAAAUCAGGAGAAAUGUAAAAAGUGAGAAAUAAAUCAGAAGUAAAGUUGGAACCCAGGCCAACUUCGGGAACGGUGACAGAAGGGCUCACCUUCAGAGCACGGAGCGGACCGAGUCAUGUUACAGCCACAAAGAGGCAGUUAGGACUCGCCCCUGCCUUGGAGAAGAGGUGUCCUCUAGAAACCAGUGCCGGUGUCUGGAGCCAUUUUAGGUUGUCACGUCUGGAGGAGGGGUUAGCGGGUGCUACUGGCAUCGAGAGGGUGAGAAUCAGGGAUGCUGCUAGAUUCCCUACCGUGCACAGGACAGGCCCCCACAGCAGAGAGCUAGCCAGCCCCAAAUGUCACCAGGGCUGAGGCUCAGAAACCCUGCAUUAGCCUGAGACCUUCAACAAGGCAAAACCUGGUCUGAAUCCUUCACCAUUGUGCCCUCAGUCUAACACUGUGACCGAUACGUAUUAGAGCUCAAUUAAACAUCUCCCACCUGGGUGGUUGCACCUUU